UACGUAGGGUGCAAGCGUUGUCCGGAAUUAUUGGGCGUAAAGAGCUCGUAGGCGGUUCGUCGCGUCGGCUGUGAAAUCCCGAGGCUCAACCUCGGGUCUGCAGUCGAUACGGGCGGACUGGAGUACUGCAGGGGAGACUGGAAUUCCUGGUGUAGCGGUGAAAUGCGCAGAUAUCAGGAGGAACACCGGUGGCGAAGGCGGGUCGCUGGGCAGUUACUGACGCUGAGGAGCGAAAGCGUGGGGAGCGAGCCGG
rnacentral:rRNA from 1 species